UACGAAGGGGGCUAGCGUUGCUCGGAAUUACUGGGCGUAAAGCGCACGUAGGCGGCUUUCUAAGUCGGGGGUGAAAUCCUGGAGCUCAACUCCAGAACUGCCUUCGAUACUGGAAAGCUCGAGUCCGGGAGAGGUGAGUGGAACUGCGAGUGUAGAGGUGAAAUUCGUAGAUAUUCGCAAGAACACCAGUGGCGAAGGCGGCUCACUGGCCCGGUACUGACGCUGAGGUGCGAAAGUGUGGGGAUCAAACAGG
rnacentral:rRNA from 1 species